rnacentral:rRNA from 1 species
ACAAGCGGUGGAGCAUGUGGUUUAAUUCGACGCAACGCGAAGAACCUUACCAGGGCUUGACAUCCCCUGACCGCGUAUGAAAGUACGUUUUCACCCUCGGGUGACAGGGAGACAGGUGGUGCAUGGUUGUCGUCAGCUCGUGUCGUGAGAUGUUGGGUUAAGUCCCGCAACGAGCGCAACCCCUACGUUUAGUUGCUAACAGGUGAAGCUGAGCACUCUAGACGAACUGCCGUUGACAAAACGGAGGAAGGUGGGAUGACGUCAAAUCAUCAUGCCCCUUAUGUUCUGGGCUACACACGUGCUACAAUGGCCGGUACAGACGGAGGCGAAGCCGCGAGGCGGAGCAAAUCCGAAAAAGCCGGUCUCAGUUCGGAUUGCAGGCUGCAAUUCGCCUGCAUGAAGUCGGAAUCGCUAGUAAUCGCAGGUCAGCAUACUGCGGUCGAAUACGUUCCCGGGCCUU